rnacentral:rRNA from 1 species
GAUGAACGCUGGCGGCGUGCCUAAUACAUGCAAGUCGAGCGAAUGGAUUAAGAGCUUGCUCUUAUGAAGUUAGCGGCGGACGGGUGAGUAACACGUGGGUAACCUGCCCAUAAGACUGGGAUAACUCCGGGAAACCGGGGCUAAUACCGGAUAACAUUUUGAACCGCAUGGUUCGAAAUUGAAAGGCGGCUUCGGCUGUCACUUAUGGAUAGACCCGCGUCGCAUUAGCUAGUUGGUGAGGUAACGGCGCACCAAGGCAACGAUGCGUAGCCGACCUGAGAGGGUGAUCGGCCACACUGGGACUGAGACACGGCCCAGACUCCUACGGGAGGUAGCAGUAGGGAAUCUUCCGCAAUGGACGAAAGUCUGACGGAGCAACGCCGCGUGAGUGAUGAAGGCUUUCGGGUCGUAAAACUCUGUUGUUAGGGAAGAACAAGUGCUAGUUGAAUAAGCUGACACCUUGACGGUACCUAACCAGAAAGCCACGGCUAACUACGUGCCAGCCGCCGCAGUAA